rnacentral:rRNA from 1 species
CUUGCCCCCAGGCGUCGAGCGGCGGACGGGUGAGUAACGCGUAGGAAUCUACCCAGUAGCGGGGGAUAGCCCGGGGAAACCCGGAUUAAUACCGCAUACGCCCCACGGGGGAAAGGCCGGGAUCUUCGGACCGGUCACUAUUGGAGGAGCCUGCGUUGGAUUAGCUAGUUGGUAGGGUAAAGGCCUACCAAGGCGACGAUCCAUAGCUGUUCUGAGAGGAAGAUCAGCCACACUGGAACUGAGACACGGUCCAG